rnacentral:tRNA from 1 species
AAAUAAGAAGCGAAUAUUUGCACUCAGUUUCGACCUGACCCUAGGCGGCCCGCCGCCCUUAUUUA